GGAAUGAUGAAGAAGCUUGCUUCUUCUGAUUUUAGCGGCGGACGGGUGAGUAACACGUGGGCAACCUACCUUGUAGAUUGGGAUAACUCCGGGAAACCGGGGCUAAUACCGAAUAAUCCAUUUUGCUUCAUGGCGAGAUGUUGAAAGACGGUUUCGGCUGUCACUACAAGAUGGGCCCGCGGCGCAUUAGCUAGUUGGUAGGGGUAAUGGCCUACCAAGGCGACGAUGCGUAGCCGACCUGAGAGGGUGAUCGGCCACACUGGGACUGAGACACGGCCCAGACUCCUACGGGAGGCAGCAGUAGGGAAUCUUCCACAAUGGACGAAAGUCUGAUGGAGCAACGCCGCGUGAGUGAAGAAGGUUUUCGGAUCGUAAAACUCUGUUGUAAGGGAAGAACACGUACGAGAGUAACUGCUCGUACCUUGACGGUACCUUAUUAGAAAGCCACGGCUAACUACGUG
rnacentral:rRNA from 1 species